UACAGAGGUCUCAACCGUUGUUCGGAUUCAUUGGGCGUAAAGGGUGCGUAGGCGGUCGUGUAAGUCGGAUGUGAAAUCUCAGGGCUCAACCCUGAAACUGCAUUCGAUACUGCAUGGCUAGGGUACUGGAGAGGAGGCUGGAAUUUACGGUGUAGCAGUGAAAUGCGUAGAUAUCGUAAGGAAGACCAGUGGCGAAGGCGAGUCUCUGGACAGUUACCGACGCUGAGGCACGAAGGUCAGGGGAGCAAACGGG
rnacentral:rRNA from 1 species